rnacentral:rRNA from 1 species
CCUACGGGGGGCUGCAGUGGGGAAUAUUGGACAAUGGGCGAAAGCCUGAUCCAGCCAUGCCGCGUGUGUGAAGAAGGCCUUCGGGUUGUAAAGCACUUUCAGUGGGGAAGAAAGCCUUGGGGCUAAUACCCUCGAGGAAGGACAUCACCCACAGAAGAAGCACCGGCUAACUCCGUGCCAGCAGCCGCGGUAAUACGGAGGGUGCGAGCGUUAAUCGGAAUUACUGGGCGUAAAGCGCGCGUAGGCGGUCUGAUAAGCCGGUUGUGAAAGCCCCGGGCUCAACCUGGGAACGGCAUCCGGAACGGUCAGGCUAGAGUGCAGGAGAGGAAGGUAGAAUCCCCGGUGUAGCGGUGAAAUGCGUAGAGAUCGGGAGGAAUACCAGUGGCGAAGGCGGCCUUCUGGACUGACACUGACGCUGAGGUGCGAAAGCGUGGGUAGCAAACAGGAUUAGAUACCCUAGUAGUC